CGCGGCGCGGGCCGCGGCCGGGGCGGAGGGCGGCCUCGGCGGGGCAGCUCCCCCCCUUCCCCCCCUCCCCACACACAACCGCCCCCGGUAACGGCCGCCGCGCGCCGGGGCCCAGGGCCAGGUCCCCCUUCCAAAAUGCCUUUGCUUGAAAAGCAAGAAAAUGGUGAGCAGGUGUUGAUGAAAAAUGAAAGCUAUUUGCAAAUCUUGAAAAAUAAGGAUCAGAGAAAGAGACUUGUCCAUGAAAUCUGUUCCUUUUUAGACAGCAGUCAGUCUGUCCAAGAAAUUAAUGCUUUGAGGACAGAAAAUAGGAAGCUAAAAAAUGCGAACUCAAGACUGCGAUAUAAAACAAAAGAUUGGGCAUUAAGGAAAGAAGAGUAUAAAAAUGAGAUUGAGAGACUUUCUGGCGAGAUAUCCAGCUACUUAAAUGUCACCAAUUUCUGGUAUGAAGAGUCAGAGCUUCUGAAUGGCCCAGCAGAUAAGAGGAUACCAAGGGAACAGACCAAACAUGCGAGGACUGUUGCAACUCAGACAGGUGAAGAAAGCUCAAGGAUGACUUUGGAUGGUGGAAGAGCAGUUUAAUGUCAACGUGACUUGUUGCUGGACAACAUAAUGUUUGACAUUGUUUCAAAUUUCAGUCUUAAGAAUAUAUUCAAAUAUAUAUAUUUAUAUAAAUAAAAAUCUAUUUAAUCUUACUAAUAAUUAUUCU
rnacentral:lncRNA from 1 species